GGGAGUGUGGCUCAGCGGUAGAGUGCUUGCCUAACAUGCAUGAAGCCCUGGGUUUGAUUCCUCAGUACCA
rnacentral:tRNA from 1 species